AGGUUAAGGUAGAAAGGGCAUACGACGGAUGCCUAGGCACUUACAGCCGACGAAAG
rnacentral:rRNA from 1 species